rnacentral:rRNA from 1 species
AGAGUUUGAUCCUGGCUCAGAACGAACGCUGGCGGCGUGGAUAAGACAUGCAAGUCGAGCGCUGAUUUCAGGGUAGCAAUAUUCUGAGGUCGGAGCGGCGCAAGGGUGCGUAACACGUGGGUAAUCUGCCAUGAAGUUCGGGAUAACUUGCUGAAAGGCGAGCUAAUACCGGAUGUGACAGCCGAGAGACAUCUCCUGGUUGUUAAAGUUGGGGACCGUAAGGCCUGACGCUUCUUGAUGAACCCGCGGCCUAUCAGCUAGUUGGUGAGGUAACGGCUCACCAAGGCUAAGACGGGUAGCUGGUCUGAGAGGACGACCAGCCACACUGGAACUGAGACACGGUCCAGACACCUACGGGUGGCAGCAGUCGAGAAUUUUUCACAAUGGGCGCAAGCCUGAUGGAGCGACGCCGCGUGGGGGAUGAAUGGCUUCGGCCCGUAAACCCCUGUCAUUUGCGAUCAAACCUCAUUAUUUAAAAGAUGAUGAGCUGAUAGUAGCGAAAGAGGAAGGGACGGCUAACUCUGUGCCAGCAGCCGCGGUAAUACAGAGGUCCCAAGCGUUGUUCGGAUUCACUGGGCGUAAAGGGUGCGUAGGUGGUGAGGUAAGUCGGAUGUGAAAGCUCGGAGCUCAACUCCGAAAUGGCAUUGGAAACUACCUUGCUCGAGGGUUGGAGGGGGGACUGGAAUACUUGGUGUAGCAGUGAAAUGCGUAGAUAUCAAGUGGAACACCAGUGGCGAAGGCGAGUCCCUGGACAACUCCUGACACUGAGGCACGAAAGCUAGGGGAGCAAACAGGAUUAGAUACCCUAGUAGUCC